rnacentral:SRP_RNA from 1 species
GCCGGGUGUGGUGGUUUGUGUCUGUAGUCCCAGUUUCUUGGGAGGCUGCAGUUGGAGGAUUGCUUGAAUUCAGGAAUUUUGGACUGUAGUGCUCUGUGCAGAUCGAGUGUCUGCGUUAAGCUUGGCAUCAAUAUGGUGACCUCCUGGGAGCAGGGGACAACUAGGUUGCCUAGGGAGAGGUGAACCGGCCCGGCUUGGAAAUGAAGCAGGUCAAAACUCCUGUGUGGCUCAGUAAUGGGUUCGCGCCUGUGAAUAGCCUUUGCCCUCCAGCCUGGACAACAGGCUGUCUCUAAAAGAA